rnacentral:snRNA from 1 species
AAUCGUACAAUUUAUGAUUCAUUACCAGAUAAUGAAUCGUUUUUAAUAAUCGAUUUAUACAAGCAAUGAUGGCAGUCUUA